rnacentral:lncRNA from 1 species
GCCCACUAUGCCAGACACUUUCGACACUUUGCAAAGACAAAGAGCCCUAGACCGGAGGGAGAAGAGAGGAGGAGACAGAGGAGGACCGUGAGGUGUGAGCUGACUGGGGCUUGACUUUGCUGAGUUAGCAAUGCCAUCAAGGAGCAACUGGCACUUUGUUGGGUCUGUGCUGAGCAAGGCUCAGAGCUCUGCGGCCAGACAGCUGUAUCAGUGAGCCAGAGGCAGACAGUGGCUCAACUUCCUG